GAUGAACGCUGACAGAAUGCUUAACACAUGCGAGUCAACUUGAACUUCGGUUUGGGUGGCGGACGGGUGAGUAACGCGUAAAGAACUUGCCUCACAGUUAGGGACAACAUUUGGAAACGAAUGCUAAUACCUGAUAUUAUGAUUUUAGGGCAUCCUAGAAUUAUGAAAGCUAUAUGCGCUGUGAGAGAGCUUUGCGUCCCAUUAGCUAGUUGGAGAGGUAACGGCUCACCAAGGCGAUGAUGGGUAGCCGGCCUGAGAGGGUGAACGGCCACAAGGGGACUGAGACACGGCCCUUACUCCUACGGGAGGCAGCAGUGGGGAAUAUUGGACAAUGGACCAAGAGUCUGAUCCAGCAAUUCUGUGUGCACGAUGAAGUUUUUCGGAAUGUAAAGUGCUUUCAGUUGGGAAGAAAAAAAUGACGGUACCAACAGAAGAAGUGACGGCUAAAUACGUG
rnacentral:rRNA from 1 species